AGAUUGAACGCUGGCGGCAGGCCUAACACAUGCAAGUCGAGCGGUAGAGAGGUGCUUGCACCUCUUGAGAGCGGCGGACGGGUGAGUAAUGCCUAGGAAUCUGCCUAGUGGUGGGGGAUAACGUUCGGAAACGGGCGCUAAUACCGCAUACGUCCUACGGGAGAAAGCGGGGGACCUUCGGGCCUCGCGCCAUUAGAUGAGCCUAGGUCGGAUUAGCUAGUUGGUGAGGUAAUGGCUCACCAAGGCGACGAUCCGUAACUGGUCUGAGAGGAUGAUCAGUCACACUGGAACUGAGACACGGUCCAGACUCCGUAGGGACGCAGCAGUGGGUAAUAGUUGGACAAUGGGACGAAAGCCUGAUCCAGCCAUGCCGCGUGUGUGAAGAGUUCUU
rnacentral:rRNA from 1 species